GACGAACGCUGGCGGCGUGCUUAACACAUGCAAGUCGAACGGAAAGGCCCUGCUUUUGUGGGGUGCUCGAGUGGCGAACGGGUGAGUAACACGUGAGUAACCUGCCCUUGACUUUGGGAUAACUUCAGGAAACUGGGGCUAAUACCGGAUAGGAGCUCCUGCUGCAUGGUGGGGGUUGGAAAGUUUCGGCGGUCGGGGCUGGACUCGCGGCUUAUCAGCUUGUUGGUGGGGUAGGGGCUUACCAAGGCUUUGACGGGUAGCCGGCCUGAGAGGGUGACCGGCCACAUUGGGACUGAGAUACGGCCCAGACUCCUACGGGAGGCAGCAGUGGGGAGUAUUGCACAAUGGGCGGAAGCCUGAUGCAGCAACGCCGUGUGCGGGAUGACGGCCUUCGGGUUGUAAACCGCUUUCGCCUGUGACGAAGCGUGAGUGACGGUAAUGGGUAAAGAAGCACCGGCUAACUACGUG
rnacentral:rRNA from 1 species